rnacentral:rRNA from 1 species
AACGCUAGCUACAGGCUUAACACAUGCAAGUCGAGGGGAAACGACAUCGAAAGCUUGCUUUUGGUGGGCGUCGACCGGCGCACGGGUGAGUAACGCGUAUCCAACCUGCCCACCACUUGGGGAUAACCUUGCGAAAAGUAAGACUAAUACCCAAUGAUAUCCCACGAAGGCAUCCGAAUGGGAUUAAAGAUUUAUCGGUGAUGGAUGGGGAUGCGUCUGAUUAGCUUGUUGGCGGGGUAACGGCCCACCAAGGCUACGAUCAGUAGGGGUUCUGAGAGGAAGGUCCCCCACAUUGGAACUGAGACACGGUCCAAACUCCUACGGGAGGCAGCAGUGAGGAAUAUUGGUCAAUGGGCGAGAGCCUGGACCAGCCAAGUAGCGUGCAGGAUGACGGCCCUAUGGGUUGUAAACUGCUUUUAUAAGGGAAUAAAGUGGGUCACGUGUGACUUUUUGCAUGUACCUUAUGAAUAAGGACCGGCUAAUUCCGUGCCAGCAGCCGCGGUAAUACGGAAGGUCCGGGCGUUAUCCGGAUUUAUUGGGUUUAAAGGGAGCGUAGGCCGGAGAUUAAGCGUGUUGUGAAAUGUAGUGGCUCAACCUCUGCACUGCAGCGCGAACUGGUCUUCUUGAGUACGCACAACGUGGGCGGAAUUCGUGGUGUAGCGGUGAAAUGCUUAGAUAUCACGAAGAACUCCGAUUG